AGGGAGAUGGUUCUGUGGGCUAAAGUGCUUCCUGCGAAAGGAAGAGGGCCUGAGUUCAAAUCCCAGCCUCCAUG
rnacentral:tRNA from 1 species